UGGAGUAGGUGUGUCACUGUGGGUGUGGACUUCCUAGCUGCCUGGAAGCCAGUAUUCUGCUAACAGCCUUCCGACGAAGAUGUAGAACUCUCGGCUCCUCCUGCACCAUGCCUGUCUGGAUGCUACCACACUUCCUGCCGUGAUGAUAAUGGACUGAACCUCUGAACAUGUGACCUUGUGAGUUUGUGGCAUGUGCCUUUGUGAGGAUCCCUUCCAUUCGCUUCUGCAUACAGCCCACACAGGCUCUGGGACGUCAAUAAAGACUUGCUGAAUGAUGGAAUAAACUUCUACAGGCCACUGACCCUCUCCUGCCUCCCAAGCCAUCUGCUGCCUCUAUGGACUUCAGGGAGGAUUACAGGGCAUAUCCUUCAGAGAGCUUUCCGGAUUAUAGACACAACUAAAUAAAUGUCAGGCGUCAUUAAGAAUCUCAAAUGAGGCGGGAA